rnacentral:rRNA from 1 species
UACGUAGGUGGCAAGCGUUGUCCGGAUUUACUGGGCGUAAAGAGCGCGCAGGCGGUCGUUCAAGUCGCGUGUGAAAGCCCCCGGCUCAACUGGGGAGGGUCACGCGAUACUGAUCGACUCGAAGGCAGGAGAGGGUAGUGGAAUUCCGCGUGUAGCAGUGAAAAUGCGUAGAGAUGCGGAGGAACACCGAUGGCGAAGGCAGCCCCCUGGGCUGACACUGACGCCUCGAGGCACGAAAGCGUGGGGAGCAAACAGG